ACGGACUCGGGCAGGAGCGAGGAGUUGCUCUUUGCAGGAAAGGAGAGGCCAGGCCCCGGCCUUACUUACCCAGGGCUUUCGGGGGGCUUGUCUCACCUCGCAGGAAAGAAUUUCAGGAGGAGACAAGCAGCAAAGGCUGCCUUCCUCUGGAGUUUUCUGACAGAGGUGAGGAAACAGCUUUGAAAUUUCUGGCGAAUCUCUUUCAAGUCCUUAAUUGUGUCUCUGUCUCUGAUGUCUCUACCUCAGGGUCUGCUGCUGACUGGCGCCAGAUGGGGGCUGGCUGUGGACCCAGGCCUGAGCACCAAAGCACUUCCCAGUUCUACGGAUCCAGACGCCCGUCCCUGUCCUGGCAGUGUCAGCUUCGUCCUCUGGAGUCGGGACGUCACCGAUCAAUGUGGAGACUCACGGGAUACACAAAGC